AGUGAACGCUGGCGGUAGGCCUAACACAUGCAAGUCGAACGGCAGCACAGUAAGAGCUUGCUCUUACGGGUGGCGGGUGGCGGACGGGUGAGGAGUACAUCGGAAUCUACUUUUUCGUGGGGGAUAACGUAGGGGAACUUACGAUAAUACCGCAUACGACCUACGGGUGAAAGCAGGGGAUCUUCGGACCUUGCGCGAUUGAAUGAGCCGAUGUCGGAUUAGCUAGUUGGCGGGGUAAAGGCCCACCAAGGGGACGAUCCGUAGCUGGUCUGAGAGGAUGGUCAGCCACACUGGAGAUGAGACACGGCCCAGAGUCCUACGGGAGGCAGCAGUGGGGAAUAUUGACAAUGGGCGCAAGCCUGAUCCAGCCAUACCGCGUGGGUGAAGAAGGCCUUCGGGUUGUAAAGCCCUUUUGUUGGGAAAGAAAAGCAGCAGGUUAAUACCCCGCUGUUCUGACGGUACCCAAAGAAUAAGCACCGGCUAACUUCGUG
rnacentral:rRNA from 1 species